CGGGGAGUAGCGCAGCUUGGUAGCGCACAGCGUUCGGGACGCUGGGGUCGCGGGUUCAAAUCCCGCCUUCCCGACCA
rnacentral:tRNA from 1 species